rnacentral:rRNA from 1 species
CCUACGGGUGGCAGCAGUAGGGAAUUUUCGUCAAUGGGCGCAAGCCUGAACGAGCAAUGCCGCGUGAACGAGGAAGGUCUUCGGAUCGUAAAGUUCUUUUUAAGGGGAAAAAGAGCGGAGAGAGGAAAUGCUUUCGGAUUGAUAUUACCCUUCGAGGAAGUCACGGCUAACUACGUGCCAGCCGCCGCGGUAAUACGUAGGUGGCGAGCGUUAUCCGGAUUGAUUGGGUUUAAAGGGUGCGUAGGCGGGCUGUUAAGUCAGCGGUAAAAGCCCGGGGCUAAACCCCGGCGAGCCGUUGAAACUGGCUGUCUUGAGAUGUCGAGAGGUAUGCGGAAUGCGCGGUGUAGCGGUGAAAUGCUUAGAUAUUGCGUAGAACUCCGAUUGCGAAGGCAGCAUACCGGCGGCGAUCUGACGCUGAGGCACGAAAGCGUGGGUAUCGAACAGGAUUAGAUACCCGGGUAGUC